CCUACGGGUGGCAGCAGUGGGGGAUAUUGCACAAUGGGGGGAACCCUGAUGCAGCGACGCCGCGUGGGUGAAGGAGUGCUUCGGCAUGUAAAGCCCUAUCGGCAGGGAAGAAGCAAGACGGGACCUGAAGAAGAAGCCCCGGCGAACUACGUGCCAGCAGCAGCGGUAAUACGUCGGGGGCAAGCGUUAGCCGGAUUUACUGGGUGUAAGGGGGGCGCAGACGGCGAAGCGAGACAGGAGUGAAAGCCCGGGGCUUAACCCAGGGAAUGCGCGUGGUACUGCGUGGCUAGAGUGCAGGAGGGGCAGGCGGAAUUCCUGGUGUAGCGGUGAAAUGCGUAGAGAUGAGGAGGAACACCGGUGGCGAAGGCGGCCUGCUGGACUGCAACUGACGUUGAGGCCCGAAAGCGUGGGGAGCAAACAGGAUUAGAUACCCCAGUAGUC
rnacentral:rRNA from 1 species